AAGUCGUAACAAGGUUUCCGUAGGUGAACCUGCGGAAGGAUCAUUAAUGAAUAUCUAUGGCGUGGUUGUAGCUGGCUUCUAGGAGCAUGUGCACAUCCGUCAUUUUUAUCUUUCCACCUGUGCACUUAAUGUAGAUCUGGAUAACUAUCGCUCUCACGAGCGGAAGCAAGGAUUGCUGUGUCGCAAGGCCCGGCUCUCUUUGAAUUUCCAGGUCUAUGUCUUUACAAACCCCAAUUGAAUGAUAAUGAAUGUAGUCAAUGGGCUCUAAGCCUAUAAAACAAAAUACAACUUUCAGCAACGGAUCUCUUGGCUCUC
rnacentral:misc_RNA from 1 species